AAAUUGAAGAGUUUGAUCAUGGCUCAGAUUGAACGCUGGCGGCAGGCCUAACACAUGCAAGUCGAACGGUAACAGGAAGAAGCUUGCUUCUUUGCUGACGAGUGGCGGACGGGUGAGUAAUGUCUGGGAAACUGCCCGAUGGAGGGGGAUAACUACUGGAAACGGUAGCUAAUACCGCAUAACGUCGCAAGACCAAAGAGGGGGACCUUCGGGCCUCUUGCCAUCGGAUGUGCCCAGAUGGGAUUAGCUUGUUGGUGAGGUAACGGCUCACCAAGGCGACGAUCCCUAGCUGGUCUGAGAGGAUGACCAG
rnacentral:rRNA from 1 species